GGGCUCACUUCGGCAGCACAUAUACUAAAAUUGGAAUGACACAGAGGAGAAUAACAUGGCCCCUGCACAAGGAUGACACGCAAACAAUAUUAACCCUAAAUCUAAAU
ensembl:snRNA U6 U6 spliceosomal RNA